rnacentral:rRNA from 1 species
GUGAGGAAUUUUCCGCAAUGGGCGAAAGCCUGACGGAGCAAUGCCGCGUGAAGGAUGAAGGCCUAUGGGUUGUAAACUUCUUUUCUCAGAAAAGAAUUAUGACGGUAUCUGAGGAAUAAGCAUCGGCUAACUCUGUGCCAGCAGCCGCGGUAAGACAGAGGAUGCAAGCGUUAUCCGGAAUGAUUGGGCGUAAAGCGUCUGUAGGUUGUUUAAAAAGUAUUCUGUCAAAGAUUAGGGCUUAACCCUAGAUAGGCAGAAUAAACUAUUAAGCGAGAGUUUGGUAGAGGCAGAGGGAAUUCCCGGUGGAGCGGUGAAAUGCGUAGAUAUCGGGAGGAACACCAAAGGCGAAGGCACUCUGCUGGGCCAAUACUAACACUGAGAGACGAAAGCGAGGGGAGCAAAUGGGAUUAGAAACCCGAGUAGUCC